UUUUCUUUAAAAAACAAGGACAUUUCUAAGUGACCCCAAAGUUUUUAACGGUAGUGUACAUGAUAGGAUUAUUAUGGACAUUUUUAUUUAUCAAACGGCAUGAUCAUGUCACCAGCAUUUAAAGUUGACUGCUCUGCUGUUGUACUGUAUGUUGUGGGGUAACACAAUCUCUCAGGUCAAAUUGUGGUUACCCAGGUUACACCUCUUCACUCCAAUCCACCUCUCCACUCCACUAACUACUUCACUCCUCACACAGUGAUGAUAAGGCUGGCUCCCCUCCUGUUGUAGAGGGCUGAAAUAUUGCAGAUACAGGCUUAAGAUUGGUCUUUAUCGGCAACAGAUAGACGAGCCAUGGGCUAUUUUUGAUAAUAUCACAUAACAUUUGAGAAGAAAAGCAGUUUGUUCUAAUAAAUAAAUUGCUUUAUAUUUUAUAAUUGUACACAUUUGUCUCCAUUGGUAGACUGUUUCUUUCACCUUGCAUACCAACUUAUGAUUUUCACAGGGGCGCAACAUUCACUGGGGACCAGGGGAGGACAUGACCCACCCACAUUAUGAAAUUGCAUUUUAGUCCCCCACCGUGAUAGAAAACGAGGCAACGCUGUGCUUUAGGACAAUGCGGACGCCUCCGAGCGUCGGGUAGGCUGUUUGGAGUGUUUAUCCGACUCGAUUAAAAAAUCUAUAUAAAGUUAUGUACCCCUCACUUCUAAAACCAACGUUGUGCCCCUGGAUUUUGAAAUAUUAUGCACAAGCUCAUCUAAUUUGAUGAAUACAUCCUCCUGAACCUAAUGGAACGAAUCAAACAAUGCGAUAGAAAAUAAUGUAACUUGGUCUCCCCCAGUCUGUGGAUCUACUCCUCAGUUCCUUUCAAAGCCAGAAGAUAAGCAUCUCCUGGUGGGAGAAGAUCCCUUCCUGAAGUGUGUCAUUGUAGCUUGUGGAGAAAGCAGGAUUCAAAGCCAAAGUGAUACUCAUGUCAUCGUAAAGAAGAGUGCUAUUGUGUCAGACGCUGGGAAGUAUGUGUGAGAUGCCAGAUAGGAAGAGGGGAAGUCUGCUGUACUGCAGACGAGUUGGUCACUGAGCCAAGCCAAAGUGUUUCAAAGCCCAGGCAGUCGUCAUGAUCAACACACUGAAGAUCCAGAUGGGAAAACUGUACAUGCAUCCUCAACAAGUAAACAACAUAAAAAGUCAAGAGGGACAGGAGGGAAAUAGGGAGUCUGGGGACUUGAAUAAAGUUAUGUAUACAUUUUGUGGCAAUUUGCCUAUUGCAUGUAGUCCCUUUGUUUGCAAUUAAAGCCUUUUUGUGAAUACUGUUCUGAUGUAUUGUCCAAUACCUGAAUGAAUUAUUGAAGAUUAUCUUUUGGAGUACUGUCAAUUUCAUUUUUUACAUUUUGAAAAAAAUUCUGUGAGUGAGCAUUUUGAUAAUAUAUGAGAUACAGACAAAAAUGUUGAUCGCCAUGUUGCAGGAGACCUUUCCUGCAAUGCAGGACAUGUAAAACUUGUGGUGUAUUUGAGGUUUAAAAAGGCUUCUGAAGUUUGUAAUUUCCACAAAUUUCAGAGUUGAUUUUCCCUUAUGAACAAAAUGUAUCAACCCUCACAAAAAUGUUAAUUGAAUUAUAUUUCACAUUUCCUGUUAUAGCAAACUGACUCAAAUUAAGAUCAUACAUC